rnacentral:misc_RNA from 1 species
GACGGAGGGCGCGAGCGUUGUCCGGAAUCACUGGGCGUAAAGGGUCCGUAGGCGGUUUGUUAAGUCUUCUGUGAAAACUCAGGGCUCAACUCUGAGAGGUCGGGGGAUACUGGCAAACUCGAGACUGUCAGAGGCAAGUGGAAUUCCCGGUGUAGUGGUGAAAUGCGUAGAUAUCGGGAGGAACACCAGUGGCGAAAGCGGCUUGCUGGGACAGUUCUGACGCUGAGGGACGAAAGCGUGGGUAGCAAACCGG